rnacentral:misc_RNA from 1 species
UAAUAAGUGUUCUAUGGCACUUUUUAAAUCCAUAUCCACCUUGUGUGCAAUGUCAGUCGAUCUUCUUCAUUGGAGAUCGACCAAACAUCAACCUUUAUCUUUUAACUCUUUGUCUGAAAAAUAUUAUGAAUAAACAAUUCAAAAUA